CUAGCAGACGGUGGGGUUUCUUCUGGUGAUCUUCGCCUUUUCCUUAAGUAAAAACAUGAUUUAAAAAUGAAAAUCGGUGAGCUUUUUGAGCUAUGCUUACAUGAUGUUCAUUCUGGUUAGUUGAUAUUCUAUUCUUCAAUUUGGGAAUUAUUGGGAGGAAAUAGAUUUUCACUCAAUUGAUCAAGGUAGUGCUUAUUAGUUGGUGGGUUUGUGAAGCAAGAUUUGAGGUGUGUUGGUAAAAUUGUAUGGGAAAGACAACGAAGGGAUCAAGUAAAAUUGUUGUUGGUGCACAGGAAUCAGCUUCUUCUCGUCGUAUGCCACCAAGAUCUGCAUUUCAAGAUAUACGCCAGCAAUCAUCUGCUGGUACUUCGUCGCCUGCUCCUGGUUAUGGAAGUGAUAGUACAUGUGAGGCAUCUGAGCUUGGAACACCGGGCCAAGUAUGGGAACACAGCUCUGAAAUCGGUACAAUGGAUCUUGACCUUGAUCAAGAUUUGGCCUCCUUGAUAGAAACACUCACAUUUAGCAUGUUUAGUUAUGAUUACGAUUUUUUUACGGGAAGAAAUAUGCUAGAGAAGCCAAAGGGUUUCCAAGGCAUAACUCAAUGCAACCAAGAAAGUGCUCUUGUUAAAGAUGUAACUGAUGUUUCCAAGCUUGAAUCUUUUUAGGAUGGACUGUCUUUCUGAACAUGAGUAUGGUAGGUUGUCCAGUCAUGGCAUGCAGGAAACAUUAUACGGAGAGUGUUGGAAGUGACAUGAGUUCCAUUAGAGUUUGUGAAAUAUCCAAUACUGGGAUUCACUUGGUGAUGGUUUCCUUGAAUUCGGUGGAAGUGCAGAAGCCUUAACAACAGAAAUGGAGUUCCCAGAUACACAAACUGUUCUUUCAUUAGAUCCGCGCCAGAAAAUGAAUAGAGUUCUUCUCACUAUGCAAGGGAAUUGGGUACUGCAAGAAGCCUAGAACGGACAUGGAGGAUCUUAUAAUAAGACUAAAUCAAGAAAUUGCGAUGAAGAACUUUCUUACAACCAAGGUAUGCCCUUUUCGUUCUUUGUGCAAUCUGGAAAUCGUUCCUUUUUAACGGAUCCAUAAACUACAUAUAAGAUGACACUGUUUAGUUCUCGACAUUUUCUUUGACAUUGAUGAGAAAAAAAUAUUUUUCGAAUCCUUGUUUAUGGUGGCAAGUAAAAAUUUACACCGAGAAUUAGUUGUUGGAACUUGGAUCAUCUACCUGAACAGUACAAAAAUGUUGCAAGAUAUGUGUUAUAUUGUCUUUUUGGUUAGUAGGUCCGGUUCAUAUGUAUUUCAAACGUUCCCAGAUAUCUGUCUGUACAUGUUGUAGAGCCGUACUCAUGCGCAUACAUAGUAUUGAUCACUACAUGGUUUAUCUUGUGAUCAAAUAUAACCCAGGCACUAAAUACUGCAUGUUUUAGCCUAGGAUAUUUGGCUGAGGAGUUCACUGUGAUAUUAGCUAGUAUGUUUGUAACACUCUUUCUGUUAGUGGAAUAGAUAAUUUGAUGAGACAUCUCCCCUUUUUUAUGGCUUGCAAGUAUAUGGAAAACGUAGCAGCAUUGUGACAGUGGUGAAGAUAGUUUUUAAAUUUUCUUCCAUUUUUAUCCUUUUUAGCCUAUGGGUGGUCCAGUGGAAUAUACAGAAUGUGUAAGCUAUGAUAUGAGAGAUUAGUUUGUGGUUUAGUUUUAAGGUAGCUCUUAGAUUGAGAAUGUUGUCUUUAUCGCACCCUUUGUGCCAUGUCAUCUCUCGCUGUUGCCAUUUCCUUUCCUUCGUAUUCAAUCAACAUCCUGGUUCUUGUUUUCAGUUACAUUUAUUCUUUCUUAGUUGAACCUGCGCUGGUGUUUCAUGAUGUCCAUUCCCCCAAAAUUAUAUAGUAAGUUUCACAGUUGUGAAGCAGUAGUAUUUAAAUGUAAGCACCAUAGAUCCAUCCAUAUAGGGACAAUUUAGGUUAAUUUUUCAUCCCCGUGUUAAUUGUUUGGUGACAAGUCCAUUUGCCCCUCAUAUUAUGGGAAAAAAAUAGAAAAAAAUUGUUUGGUUAAUUUUUCAUCUCCUUUUACAGCAUACUUGUACAAGCAUAAUGGAAAAAAGCUGAUGCCAGCCAGUCAUUACUCGUUAGGAAAAUAGGCACCUCAUAAAGAAAAUGCUCCUUGUAAUUAGGCAACAGAAAUACUUGCUGAAAAAAGCUACCAUGACUCCCACCAUCUGGUAUUUUUCUCAAUUAUACCAUGUUUUCUUACAUAGCCCUUCUCUUUGUGGAUUGUUAUUUUAUUAUGUAAAGUGAUCAAGACGCUGAUGUCCCCAAGUUGAUUUCCUGUUUCUUCUUUGAAUUGGGAAGUCAGCAUUAUAUGCUAAGUUAGUUGUGUCUGACAUAUCUUAUUCAUUUACAGUUUAGUAAAAUACAUUGCAAUGUGAUGUAAAUGUUAUUUUAUAAAAGGCUUUGCUUGAAGAUUUUGCUUCUACUAAGUUGACAGAUUGUGGUGUAAUCGUCGUCGACGGGUAUCUUCAGUCACUCAAUAUUAAAAAUGUUUUACAUUUGAGCAUAUAAGAACAAGUAUAUGUUUGUUUGGUCAAACGGAUUUUUCAUUUGACUUUUGCAUUUCUUUUAUGUGUGGUUGUGUCCACCUAAGCUGAAAUUCUGUGGGAACAGCUAAAGACCAGACGUGGGUCUUCUAGGGGGAGCACAUAUAGAGUUCACCAACCUUCCAGUUUUCAAUCCAUGGAAGAUCUUCUUGCACUCUUAGAUGAUACUGAUGCAGAGGAAAAUUCAACAAACCUUCCAGUUUGCAAUCCAUGGAAGAUCUUCUUGCAUUCUUAGAUGGUACUGAUGCAGAUGAAAAUGAUUGCUUUGUCUGUGGUUUUUAUCACAAUACUGAUGGACCUGGGUUGCGUGACAUUGAAUCACAGCAGUAACUUGCUCGACUUGCAAGCUGUUCCGGUGUUCAUGUGGUUGCAUCUAUUGAUCAUGUCAAUACGGCACUAUUAUGGCACAAGAAAAUGGUCCACGCAGCUGGUGCUGGCAUCAUGUCCCAACCUUUGCACCAUACAAAAGUUGAAGGGGUGUUUCUUCCGUUGAUUAUUGCCUGUAUCAGGACAGGCCAAAAUGUUUAAACCGCUGCAAUUGUACUUACUUCAGAGUUCGAAACCAAAUGCGCAGAGCGUGUUUAAGGUUCUUGCGCUCGGAUGAAGACGGAAUGGCGUGAACAUUUUCUAGUUAGCCGCCAAAUGGCGCUGCAUUCCCACUUGGCGGAGUGAAGAUUAAGACUAGAAGACACUCCGAUUGGCAGGAUUGUGUUUACAUUCUGAAGCGAUUACGCAGCUGUUGGCUGGAGGAGAUUGGCUGAGUUUGUUAUCUGUAAUGGUGGUAGACUGUUACACUGGAUUGUGUAUAUAAUCUCAAGUUUUCACAUUUAGACUUGGUAAACAUGUUUGGAAGCUAGAAUUUGCAAGAUUCAUGUUGGGCCUUGGCUUCUCUAGUCUAAAUUGGACACUUAGAAUUUCCUUCUCCAAUGUAUCCCCUUUUAUAGCUAAAUUCCCACUUUCCUUCUCAAUGUAUCAAGUGCUGGGAAAGCUAGCUAAUGGAUUUCAAAAAUGAUAAAAAUUACAGAACUGAAGCAAUCAAAA